rnacentral:rRNA from 1 species
UGGGGAAUAUUGCACAAUGGGGGAAACCCUGAUGCAGCGAUGCCGCGUGGAGGAAGAAGGUUUUCGGAUUGUAAACUCCUUUUAUCAGGGACGAUAAUGACGGUACCUGAAGAAAAAGCUCCGGCUAACUACGUGCCAGCAGCCGCGGUAAUACGUAGGGAGCGAGCGUUGUCCGGAAUUACUGGGUGUAAAGGGAGCGUAGGCGGGACGGCAAGUCAGAUGUGAAAACUGAGGGCUCAACCUUCAGACUGCAUUUGAAACUGCUGUUCUUGAGUGAAGUAGAGGUAAGCGGAAUUCCUAGUGUAGCGGUGAAAUGCGUAGAUAUUAGGAGGAACAUCGGUGGCGAAGGCGGCUUACUGGGCUUUUACUGACGCUGAGGCUCGAAAGCGUGGGGAGCAAACA